rnacentral:rRNA from 2 species
GGAUGCGAUCAUACCAGCACUAAAGCACCGGAUCCCAUCAGAACUCCGAAGUUAAGCAUGCUUGGGCGAGAGUAGCACUAGGAUGGGUGACCUCCUGGGAAGUCCUCGUGUUGCAUUCC